CCUACGGGAGGCAGCAGUGAGGAAUAUUGGUCAAUGGACGCAAGUCUGAACCAGCCAAGCCGCGUGCAGGAAGACUGCCCUAUGAGUUGUAAACUGCUUUUGUACGAGGGUAAACGCAGAUACGCGUGCCUUUCUGAAAGUAUUGUAUGAAUAAGGAUCGGCUAACUCCGUGCCAGCAGCCGCGGUAAUACGGAGGAUUCAAGCGUUAUCCGGAUUUAUUGGGUUUAAAGGGUGCGUAGACGGUCGGUUAAGUUAGAGGUGAAAUUCCGAGGCUCAACUUCGGAAUUGCCACUGAUACUGUCCGGCUAGAGAGUAGUUGCGGUAGGCGGAAUGUGUGGUGUAGCGGUGAAAUGCUUAGAGAUCAUACAGAACACCGAUUGCGAAGGCAGCUUACCAAGCUACUUCUGACAUUGAGGCACGAAAGUGUGGGGAGCAAACAGGAUUAGAUACCCGAGUAGUC
rnacentral:rRNA from 1 species